AACGAACGCUGGCGGCGUGCCUAACACAUGCAAGUCGUGCGAGAAAGUUCCUUCGGGAGCGAGUAAAGCGGCGCACGGGUGAGUAACACGUAGGUAACCUGCCCCCCAGUCUGGAACAACUAGAGGAAACUCUAGCUAAUGCCGGAUGAGACCACGAUCCCUUCGGGGGUUGCGGCCAAAGAUGGCCUCUACUUGUAAGCUAUCGCUGAGGGAUGGGCCUGCGGGCCAUUAGCUUGUUGGUGAGGUAACGGCUCACCAAGGCUGUGAUGGCUAGCUGGUCUGAGAGGAUGACCAGCCACACUGGGACUGAGACACGGCCCAGACUCCUACGGGAGGCAGCAGUGGGAAUAUUGCGCAAUGGGCGAAAGCCUGACGCAGCGACGCCGCGUGGGUGAUGAAGGCCUGGUCGUAAGACCUGUCGCAGGGAGGAAGUAAGACGAU
rnacentral:rRNA from 1 species